CAGUCAGCCAAUUAAUUUGCUUAUCUGAAUGUGUUUCUGCAGAAAUUUAGAAAAAACUGGCAAUAUGAUGUCAUGUUAUGAGCCUUCAGGACAAUUGGGGUCAUUAAGGCUCCUGAAAACAACUACGAUA
ensembl:snoRNA